UACGUAGGGUCCGAGCGUUGUCCGGAAUUACUGGGCGUAAAGAGCUCGUAGGUGGUUUGUCGCGUUGUUCGUGAAAACUCACAGCUCAACUGUGGGCGUGCGGGCGAUACGGGCAGACUAGAGUACUGCAGGGGGAGACGUAGUGAAUUCCUGGUGUAGCGGUGGAAUGCGCAGAUAUCAGGAGGAACACCGGUGGCGAAGGCGGGUCUCUGGGCAGUAACUGACGCUGGAGGAGCGAAAGCGUGGGGAGCGAACAGGAUAGAU
rnacentral:rRNA from 1 species